GGCGGUAGUAGCGGGUGGCGCGCAUCGCGAUCGCCUCGGUCGACCUGACCGCGGCGACCGCGCCGAUCACCGGUCCGACGCCGGGCACCGCCC
rnacentral:tRNA from 1 species